GUAACAUCACCAGACUGGGACUGUCAUGGUGCCAGGUAACAUAGCUUUGACUGGGACUGUCAUGGUGCCAGGUAACAGACUGGGACUGUCAUGGUGCCAGGUAACAUUAGGCUGUAUGAAACAGACUGGGACUGUCAUGGUUCCAGGUAACAUUAGGCUGUUUGAAACAGACUGGGACUGUCAUGGUGCCAGGUAACAUUAGGCUGUUUGAAACAGACUGGGACUGUCAUGGUGCCAGGUAACAUCAGGCUGUAUGAAACAGACUGGGACUGUCAUGGUGCCAGGUAACAUCAGGCUGUUUGAAACAGACUGGACUGUCAUGGUGCCAGGUAACAUUAGGCUGUAUGAAACAGACUGGGACUGUCAUGGUGCCAGGUAACAUUAGGCUGUAUGAAACAGACUGGGACUGUCAUGGUUCCAGGUAACAUUAGGCUGUUUGAAACAGACUGGGACUGUCAUGGUGCCAGGUAACAUUAGGCUGUUUGAAACAGACUGGGACUGUCAUGGUGCCAGGUAACAUUAGGCUGUUUGAAACAGAC
rnacentral:lncRNA from 1 species